ACGGAGGAUGCGAGCGUUAUCCGGAUUUAUUGGGUUUAAAGGGUGCGUAGGUGGACUGUUUAGUCAGUGGUGAAAUGCUGAUGCUCAACGUUAGCAUUGCCGUUGAAACUGACAGUCUUGAGAGUGAUUGAGGCAGGCGGAAUGUGUGGUGGAGGGGUAAAAUACAAAAAUAUCACAAAGAACCCCAAUAGCGUAGGCAUCUUGCAAAGCCACAACUGACACUGAAGCACGAAAGCGUGGGGAUCAAACAG
rnacentral:rRNA from 1 species